AUUGCUACUGUUUCUACAUUUUGUUCCAUUUUUCUUAAUUUGUUAUAAAUUCAUUUUUUUAGUAUUAUACUAACAUUUAUCUAACAUAUAUUGUGUUAUGUUGUUCUUUGUUUUUUAAAAAAAAUUUCCAAAGUUAUGUCAACCAACAGUUGGAGAGUAGUGGUUUACAGAAUUUAGAAGUGUUGACUUUAUAAAUUUAAUAGAUUUUAAU
rnacentral:misc_RNA from 1 species